AUCCUCCUAUCUCAGUCUCCCAAGUAGCUGGAACUACAGGCUACAGGCUAAACAAGAGUCAAAGAUACCGUAGAGGAGAGGUCGAGUUCCCUCCACUGCAGCACCAAGUGGAGUAUAUAAAGCCACACUGCUGUGGCAUAGUCCACUAACUGUGAGAGACAGAUGCAUUACAAGGGGAUGGAUUUAGUGCACUCUUUCCUCUCUUACUGUGGCAUUUACCUGCCUUUUAACAAUAUUCUGUCCUGCAGCACAGCCUGAACACCCAGUAAAUGAUGAAACAAAACUUCUUCCCAAGCCUCAAUGAGGAUUGUGCCAUGGUUUAGAGGUAGGAGAAUUUCAAGCCAUUAAUCGUCUAUCAAUACUGAAUACCACCGAGAAUGGCUUCUUCAGGUCUAUCGGCUUAAUACUGCUUUUGUGUUAUUCUUAGGCCAAAGAACAAUGGUCAACCCAGCAAUAAACUCAGUUUGGCUGAUUUGGGCCUUUAGUCUAACCUCAGUUGGACCACACAGACAUUCUUCUCUUCAAUUUCAGGGUCUUUCCUUCAGGAAUUCUGUCAGGAAUAAGCAGCAAGUUUCCUACUGCUCUGGGUCCUCCUUAGACUCCUCUUAUCUCCACAUCCUGUCUUAAACUCCACCUUCCUUCUAUUAUUUUUUUCACAUUUGACAUUGAUACUCAUUAAAACUAGAAUCUGAAUUGUUACCACCAAUGAUAUUGUUUACCUCUUUUUUUUGCACCAGAGAGCUUAAUAUUUAAAAUGUUCUGUAAGAUAUGGGAAUGGUAUACUGUCUUUCUAGUGUGGCAAAAGAAGAGAGAGUAACAAAUUAUUGUGUUCAUAUUAAGAUUAUUUGAAUAUAAAUAUUUUGCCAAAUUUGUAUUUAAGUGUCCAUGCUAUUUUUAAUAAUUGGAUUGAUAUAAAUAGAUCUUAAGAAAUAGCAAAAGAAAGAAACCCAUUUUGUCAAAUUGGAGUCAGGGAGGCAUGGAAAUUCUCUUCAUUUUAAGUGCUCCUAAAUUCCUGCUUAUUCUGUGGUUGAAUUUAUAUCAAUAAAGAGAAUUGGAGAUUAAGGCAAUUAAUCAGAAAUUUUAGUUAAAAAAGGAAUAGAAAAAAAAGUAAAGUUUCCUAUAGAAUUCUAGGGUUUGACAUUCACACAGUUAUUUCAUUAGGUAGAAUGGUAAGUCUUUGCUCUUAUGAAAAGAUUGUUCCCUAAUUGUCAUUGAGCAUAAAGUAAAAUGAAGAUAGAUUAUAAAAAUAUCCUUAUUGAUUAAAAGUUUAAAAUUGCCAGUGUCCCAAGAAAUAUGCCUGAAUUCAAGGUUAUCUUAUUGUAAAGAAUAUCUUAUUGCAGUUUGUUUUUUUUUUUCCUUAUUGUAAAUAAAGGGUCAACCAACAGCUAAUAACUCACAACUGCAUCUUUUCUUGUUAGAACAUGUCGCCCAGCACUUUUUGAUUAGAUGUUCUCAGAUAAUAGCUGGGGCAGAUUGACCAAAGGAGAGCAAUUUUUUUUUUAAUCAGGAUAACAUAAUAAUUCCAUCACAAACUUUAGAUAGGGCUAUGGAUAUCACCAAUUUUCUUUUUUUGUCUAUUAAUAGUGCUGUAUCUUUAGUGGAAUUGAAGACAUGACCUUCUGCAGGUUUCAAUACUUUAUAAAAGGCCAUAGCAAUGCCUUUAAAAUCAGAUCUAUUAACUGUUCUACAGAGAAGCCAGUUUUCUAGUAACUUGGCCAUAACUUAAAGACAGGGACCCUGAAAACAUCAAGCAUUUGCCUGAAAUAUGAAUUACCUCCCUGACUAAAUUCAGUAAUCUUGGCUCUUCUUCUCUGCAUGUAAGUCAUUUUGUGUACAUCAGUUUCUUCACCUAUGCAAGAAGAGAGUUGUCCAGCAUGUCCUGAGGUUCUUUCAGUUCUAAGUUCUUUGUAUAAUUUGAUUGGAGCCCAAGAGAUGUCCUAAAUCUGACUGGCAUGCAGUAAAUGUUUGUUGAUUAUGAAAAAAUAUUUGAGUUCCAAAUGGGUUGUAAAAUAUCUCGUGUGGACAUACUGUAGCAACUUAAUACUUAUAAUUUUGGGAGCAGAAUAAAUGUAAUUAAAUCACAAAUGCAAAUGAAUUCUCUGUUUAUUUAAGUCAAAGAGAAAUAGUUGUCUAAAAACAAUAUGACCCAUAUACUGGUUGAAAAUAGUAAACAUUAGUUUUUUAUGAAGUGCAAAGUAAGUGGUUCACAUAUAUUAAAUGUAAUGAAUGUAUUAAAAAAGAUUUUCACCUAGUUGAACUGCAUUUACACUUCAUGAAUAUCACUAGUGUAGUCAUUAUUUUAAAAACGUAGAGCUGGAGAAAUAAACAUUUAGACAGGUAAGAACAGACUGAAGUUUUAAAUUUUAUUUUUAACAGUCAUUCUAAAAGAAUUGUUUAUCAUUAUAUAUUGGUAUGACUGUUAAAGGUUGAAACAAAAACAUGGAAGUAUGCUUUUAAUUGACCAUUGUUAUACAGAGAGAGUGAAUUAAAACAUUUUUAUGCAUAUGAAGUUACUAAUAAUUUUUUGAGCACAUACAGUGUUCUACAUACUUACCUAUAUGUAUUCUUUAAUCCUCAUAACAGCCCCAUGAACUAUCUACUCUUAUUAUCAUCAUUCGAUCUUGCAGGUGAGGAAACUGAGGUCUAGAAAAGUCCAUUAAUUUGACUAAAGGCGCACAGUUAAUACAUGGUAGAGCCAAGGCUUAAACCCUGGCAUUCUGGUUUUAUGCUUUUAACCAACUGCUUAUUAUUGGUAUCUUAUUGUGAUGAUUUUGGAAAACACUACUAAUUUAUUUGGAAUGUAUUAAUAGUCUUUAUUUAUUUACAAGUUUAAUAAAGAAAAAGUUAACCUUUCCAUAUGUUCAAACA